AGAGUUGUGGCUCAGUGGUAGAGCACUUGCCUAGCAUCUGCAAGAUACUGGGUCCAAUCCUCAGUUCCA
rnacentral:tRNA from 1 species